AUAGCACAGCUCAUGUCUGAAAUGGAUGUACAAGGAAAGGAAUGAGGGACAAGGAAAGGCCACAUGUUUUGCAGCGGAGUACAACCAAUAAUACCGGAGGCCAUGGAAGACAAUGGAGGAAUACACGGCAGGCUUGCCGUAAGACCCGUCAACUUGAAGAAAAUCACCUACAAAAAAGACGAUCGAUAAUAAAUUGAAGCUACUUCAUUAACUGAUACCUGCAAUCGAGUGACGGUGUAGUGCAGAUGGAAGACGGUAAACUUUCGACGAAGUGCGUGCUGCGG